GACGAACGCUGGCGGCGUGCUUAACACAUGCAAGUCGAGCGGAAAGGCCCUUCGGGGUACUCGAGCGGCGAACGGGUGAGUAACACGUGAGUAACCUGCCCCAGACUUUGGGAUAACCCUCGGAAACGGGGGCUAAUACCGGAUACGACACAGCUUCGCAUGGGGUCUGUGUGGAAAGUUUUUCGGUUUGGGAUGGGCUCGCGGCCUAUCAGCUUGUUGGUGGGGUGGUGGCCUACCAAGGCGACGACGGGUAGCCGGCCUGAGAGGGCGACCGGCCACACUGGGACUGAGACACGGCCCAGACUCCUACGGGAGGCAGCAGUGGGGAAUAUUGCACAAUGGGCGGAAGCCUGAUGCAGCGACGCCGCGUGAGGGAUGACGGCCUUCGGGUUGUAAACCGCUUUCAGCAGGGACGAAGCGUAAGUGACGGUACCUGCAGAAGAAGCGCCGGCCAACUACGUG
rnacentral:rRNA from 1 species